UGAUCCGCGUCUCGCCCCGGGAUGUUCAUACCCUUUGUUGUCCGACUCUGUUGCCUCCGGGGCGACCCUGCCUUCGGGCGGGGGCUCCGGGUGGACACUUCAAACUCUUGCGUAACUUUGCAGUCUGAGUAAAUUUAAUUAAUAAAUUUCCAGGACUACCUGCGGCCCUCCAGCCGUCGGGACCUGAACGCCAUGGUGCAGCUGUACAUGGCCACUCUGAUCUCUUCGGCCCUGGAGUACCUGGAAAACAACAACUUCCUCCACUCAUAUCUUGCUGCCCGACACUGCCUGGUCCGGGAGAUCCA
rnacentral:misc_RNA from 1 species